rnacentral:rRNA from 1 species
GACAGAGGGUGCAAACGUUGUUCGGAAUUACUGGGCGUAAAGCGCGUGUAGGCGGCCCUGCAAGUCGGGUGUGAAAUCCCACGGCUCAACCGUGGAAGUGCAUUCGAAACUGCAGGGCUAGAGUCCUGGAGAGGAAGGUGGAAUGCUAGGUGUAGAGGUGAAAUUCGUAGAUAUCAAGCGGAACACCGGUGGCGAAGGCGGCCUUCUGGACAGUGACUGACGCUGAGACGCGAAAGCGUGGGGAGCAAACAGG